rnacentral:rRNA from 1 species
UAUUGGGCAAUGGGCGCAAGCCUGACCCAGCAACGCCGCGUGAAGGAAGAAGGCUUUCGGGUUGUGAACUUCUUUUAAGAGGGAAGAGCAGAAGACGGUACCUCUAGAAUAAGCCACGGCUAACUACGUGCCAGCAGCCGCGGUAAUACGUAGGUGGCAAGCGUUGUCCGGAUUUACUGGGUGUAAAGGGCGUGCAGCCGGGUCUGCAAGUCAGAUGUGAAAUCCAUGGGCUCAACCCGUGAACUGCAUUUGAAACUGUAGAUCUUGAGUGUCGGAGGGGCAAUCGGUAUUCCUAGUGUAGCGGUGAAAUGCGUAGAUAUUAGGAGGAACACCAGUGGCGAAGGCGGAUUGCUGGACGAUAACUGACGGUGAGGCGCGAAAGUGUGGGGAGCAAACAGGA